rnacentral:tRNA from 1 species
UUGCUUAGAAAAGGAAGUUUAA